UAUUUUUGAGAUAAUGUGGUUCUCACAAUCCUUGUUUUGUGUUAGUUCUGCUGAAACAUGUUUCCAAUGACGUUCGAAUUUUAAACAAGGAUCACUGUGAUAUAAGAGCUCAGUUGUUUUAAAAGGACUGUCCCUUCUCCUCUUGGGGAAAAUGAAAGUAGGAACAGAAAAUCGUCUAGUAUGUGCCUCUGUUUCCAACUUCAAUUUACUGUAUAGGCACAGGAACCAAGAGAAAUGUAAGUCGAUCAGCUGUGAAUGGAAUGGUGACCUUCACUCAUUUUUACUCUCUCUCUCUCUUUUUGUGACUGAGAAACAAUAAUAAAAAAUUGUCUCUUCCCUUGCUUAUUUCAAGACAGAGAUUUUAAGUGUGUUUUAUGACUUGAGCUUCUCUUAGGCCAAUCUGCUUCCCUAGUAAUGAUGAACUAACCCUCGACGUCCAUUAGCAUAAGUGAAUGUUAUUUUGUUAACUCUGAUGGGGUCCUAAUCAGCGCUGAUUCUCCCACCGGCACUGCAUUUUGGAGGGUGCACCCAGGUGCUCUCCCAGAUGUGAAAGGGAGAGUGCUGCCUGGCUCCUUCCCUGCCACCAUCCCAGAACCUUCAGCUGCAGACGGUUCAUGCCUGACUGAGAACCACUCAAGUGUUGCGUGAGCCACGCACUCUGCUGCAUCUAAUAAAAUCUUUCUCCCCCAGUCCUGCUCUAGGAAAACAGACACUAAUGUGAGUGAUGAGAGCCUGCCCAUGGCCCAGGAUGGCUGGCAGCCAUGUGCAGAAGAGGCUGGCAAUCACAUUCCUGGGCAUCUCUGCCAAGAGAGAGCAGAUCCUGCAGCUCAGGAUCCAUCACCAUUGACAAAGCCACGGGCACAAACGUUCAGUGGUUUAAUCUUCUCCUCCUUUCCCUACAGGGGGGGUCCUUGCACUGUGUAGCUUAUCUCCUUCCUGGCAGUGUGUGGGCUAGCGAAUGAGUAUGUUUGCAGGCAUGCCUGCGUAUGCUGGGUGGAGAGAGGAAGGAGGGGAAAUAAAGCCUCGAGAUGCCAAACCAUGAAGAGAUAAAAAGUUUUCUGCAUUUGCACUUAGCUCUGCAGGACACAAAGUAGGUGGAAAAAUGGCAUUCAGGAAUUAGAAGAUCUGAGAUUCAAC
rnacentral:lncRNA from 1 species